rnacentral:tRNA from 1 species
GUUUUAAUAGUUUAAAAAACGUCGGUCUUGUAAACCGAAAAUGAGAAAGUUUCCCCCCUCUCUUAAAACU